GGCGGGCAAGUCUGGUGCCAGCAGCCGCGGUAAUUCCAGCUCCAAUAGCGUAUAUUAAAGUUGUUGCAGUUAAAAAGCUCGUAGUUGAAUUUCGGGAUUAGUGCGCCGGUCGUGCCUUCGGUAUGUACUGGUGUUACUGGUUCCUACCUUCUGACGAACCGUCAUGUCAUUAAUUUGGUGUGGCGGGGAAUCAGGACUGUUACUUUGAAAAAAUUAGAGUGUUUAAAGCAGGCUCGCGCUUGAAUACAUUAGCAUGGAAUAAUGAAAUAGGACGUUCGAUCCUAUUUUGUUGGUUUCUAGGAUUGACGUAAUGAUUAAUAGGGAUAGUCGGGGGCAUUAGUAUUCAAUUGUCAGAGGUGAAAUUCUUGGAUUUAUUGAAGACUAACUACUGCGAAAGCAUUUGCCAAGGAUGUCUUCAUUAAUCAAGAACGAAAGUUAGGGGAUCGAAGACGAUCAGAUACCGUCGUAGUCUUAACCAUAAACUAUGCCGACUAGGGAUCGGAUGAUGUUAAUUUUUUAAUGACUCAUUCGGCGCCUUACGGGAAACA
rnacentral:rRNA from 1 species